GAUGAACGCUAGCGGGAGGCCUAACACAUGCAAGCCGAGCGGUAUUGUUUCUUCGGACAUGAGAGAGCGGCGUACGGGUGCGUAACACGUGUGCAACCUGCCUUUAUCUGGGGGAUAGCCUUUCGAAAGGAAGAUUAAUACUCCAUAAUAUAUUGAACGGCAUCGUUUAAUAUUGAAAGCUCCGGCGGAUAGAGAUGGGCACGCGCAAGAUUAGCUAGUUGGUGAGGUAACGGCUCACCAAGGCGAUGAUCUUUAGGGGGCCUGAGAGGGUGAUCCCCCACACUGGUACUGAGACACGGACCAGACUCCUACGGGAGGCAGCAGUGAGGAAUAUUGGUCAAUGGGUGCAAGCCUGAACCAGCCAUCCCGCGUGAAGGACGACUGCCCUAUGGGUUGUAAACUUCUUUUGUAUAGGGAUAAACCUACCCUCGAGAGGGUAGCUGAAGGUACUAUACGAAUAAGCACCGGCUAACUCCGU
rnacentral:rRNA from 1 species